rnacentral:rRNA from 1 species
AGAACGAACGCUGGCGGCGCGCCUAACACAUGCAAGUCGGACGCACUCGGUCCUUCGGGGCCGGAUGAGUGGCGGACGGGUGAGUAACACGUGGGAACCUGCCUCAGGGUCCGGGAUAGCUGCGGGAAACUGCAGGUAACACCGGAUGCGCCCUGGUCCGUGAGGGCUGGGGGAAAAGAGAUGCCCUGGGAUGGGCCCGCGCCGGAUUAGGUAGUUGGUGGGGUAACGGCCUACCAAGCCUGCGAUCCGUAGCCGGUCUGAGAGGAUGAUCGGCCACACUGGGACUGAGACACGGCCCAGACUCCUACGGGAGGCAGCAGUGGGGAAUCUUGGACAAUGGGGGCAACCCUGAUCCAGCGACGCCGCGUGGGUGAUGAAGGCCUUCGGGUCGUAAAGCCCUUUUGCCGGGAAGAUGAUGACGGUACCCGGAGAAGAAGCACCGGCUAACUCUGUGCCAGCAGCCGC